CCUACGGGUGGCAGCAGUGGGGAAUCUUGCGCAAUGGGCGCAAGCCUGACCCAGCAACGCCGCGUGAAGGAAGAAGGCUUUCGGGUUGUAAACUUCUUUUGUCAGGGAAGAGUAGUAGACGGUACCUGACGAAUAAGCCACGGCUAACUUCGUGCCAGCAGCCGCGGUAAUACGUAGGGGGCAAGCGUUGUCCGGAUUUACUGGGUGUAAAGGGCGUGUAGCCGGGUUGACAAGUCAGAUGUGAAAUCCUGCGGCUUAACCGCAGAACUGCAUUUGAAACUGUUGAUCUUGAGUACUGGAGAGGCAGACGGAAUUCCUAGUGUAGCGGUGAAAUGCGUAGAUAUUAGGAGGAACACCAGUGGCGAAGGCGGUCUGCUGGACAGCAACUGACGGUGAGGCGCGAAAGCGUGGGGAGCAAACAGGAUUAGAUACCCCAGUAGUC
rnacentral:rRNA from 1 species